UGUUGCAACAACCCCGUGGAUUGGGUGGUGAGGCGGAAGAAGGCUGAAACCACAGUGAACCCACUGCAACA
rnacentral:sRNA from 1 species